UUCGUAGGGGGCUAGCGUUGUCCGGAAUCAUUGGGCGUAAAGAGCGUGUAGGCGGUCCGGUAAGUCCGCUGUGAAAGUCGGGGGCUCAACCCUCGAAUGCCGGUGGAUACUGUCGGGCUAGAGUGCGGAAGAGGCGAGUGGAAUUCCUGGUGUAGCGGUGAAAUGCGCAGAUAUCAGGAGGAACACCAAUUGCGAAGGCAGCUCGCUGGGACGUAACUGACGCUGAGACGCGAAAGCGUGGGGAGCAAACAGG
rnacentral:rRNA from 1 species